GUGAGGAGAAAGGAGUAGGAAGGCACAGAGGAUGUAACUGGCAAAAACAAAUAAGUGAGGUAGACAAAAAGAAUGAAUCUAAUGGCUUCACCUGACUUAGGUGCAGUUUUAAGGGGCCUGACUUAGGCCUGGGGACUUAUGUUUUGAGCUGGGCUCUGUUGGACUUUUUGAUGCGGGAGUGAUGAAUCUAGCAGGAAUGCCGCCUACUUUCAGAGCAGUUGGAGUCGUGAGGAUGACGGUGUGAGGUCUUUUCUAAGCAGGAGUGAGUCUUUCUUUUUGGAACUUUUUAACAAAUGCUAGGUCUCCUGGCUGGAAUGAAUGGCAGGACUUUUUCUGGUCAGGAAUUGGAUUGGGAAGGGCUCCUCAAACAAGUGGCAGGAUAAUAUCUUGUACCUGUUGGAGAGAAUAUAGGUACUGUAAUAAAUUAGUUUGUGAUAUUUCUGCUAAUUUCACAUCUCUUCACUUAGGCAAGAGAGGCAGCGCCUUCUUAUACAUGAUUUCAAAGGGUGAGAACUUAGCGUGGUAAGGGGUGCACCUUACUUUAAGUAGAGCUAAAGGAAGGAGACUUACUUAAUUUACACUGGUUUUUAAGAUUUUGUAAGAGUGUUUUUUAGGGUGUGGUUCAUGCGUUGUACUUGCCUGGAGCUCUGAGGUUGAUAGGCACGAUGGAGCUUCUAUUGAAUGUUUAAGGCCUUACUGACUGACUGAGCUAUAGGCGACGUGAAGGCUGUUCUAUUAUCAGACUUUAUGGCAGCAGGCAGCCUAUACUGAACGAUGAUUUCAUUGUGUAAAAACUUAACUACUGUGUUGGUGGUUUCGUUUUCGGUAGCAAAUGCCUUAGUCUAUCUGGAGAAGGUGUCUACUAGUACUAGAAGGCAUUUGUACUUAGCCUGGUGUGGUUUGACUUCUGUAAAGUCAAUUUCUUACUUUUUUCUUGGCGAGGUUUUUCAGAGACAGUGGCCUGGGCUGGGUUUAGGACUUUGUUUGGCAUUUACUUGGGCGCAGGUUGUGAACUGGAGAGCUGCUUAAUCUGUUAGGCUUUGAAGACGGGGGAUCUUAAAAUGGCUCCGCAGGAGCUGAGGUAGCUUUGCUCUUUUUAAGUGGGUGGUAGACUGUAGGUGACGGACUAAAUUUUCUUUAAGGGUUCAGGAUAUGAAGCGUCUAGAGUCAGGAAGAAUCUACUAACUUUCCUGAUUUUUAUUGACUCUGAGAUCUGAAGCCAGUUUUUUGUUGUUGUUGUUGAGUGUACGGGAUUGUCAGGCAGAUCUGGCUGUGGAAAGGAGACUGUGGGCAGCAAGUUUAGAGGCGUGACUGAAAGUCUCGCUGCGACCUGAGCUGCUGAAUCAGGUUUCUGGUUACUAUGGGCAACGGCCGUGUUUUCUUUUUGAUGUCCUUUGCAGUGGAUCACAGCUACCUGCUGAGGUGAGGAUUCAGGAGAUAAUUCUGCAAACAGAACUUCCUGAGAACUGAGAUGGGGGAAAUCGCUGGUAUUAGAAGAGUGAAAAGAAACUCCUGGAGGGCAGAGGCAUGCCUGCCAUCUUCAUCAAUGCAUUACCACCACCCAACACUAUCGGGGGACCUGCCCUGAUAAUCAGAUUACUCACCACUCGUCGGGGAGUUGAACACGCUUAUCUGUGGACCAAGCCGAUUGACGUUUCACCGCACCUACCAAAGGGAAUCCGGUUCCCUCAUGCACUUAGGAAAAAAGAAAGACCACGUGGGCGCCAGAUAUCGGGAGACCUGCCCCGAUAAUCACUCUACAGGUGAAUCCAGCAGCUCCAGAGAGACAGCGACCAGCGAGAAGGGGCCAUGAUGAUGGUGGUGGUUUUGUCAAAACGAAAAGGGGGAUAUGUAGGGAAAAGAAAGAGAGAUCAGACUGUUACUGUGUCUACAUAGAAAGGGAAGACAUAAGAGACUCCAUUUUGAAAAAGACCUGUACUUUCAACCAUUGCUUUGCUGAGAUGUUGUUAAUCUGUAGCUUUGCCCCAGCCACUUUGCCCCAACCACUUUGACCCAAUCUGGAGCUCAUUAAAACAUGUGUUGUAUGAAAUCAAGGUUUAAGACAUGUAGGGCUGUGCAGGACGUGCCUUGUUAACCAAAUGUUUGCAAGCAGUAUACUUGGUAAAAGUCAUCACCAUUCUCUUGUCUCAAUAAACCAGGGACACAAUGCACUGUGGAAAGCCGCAGGGACCUCUGCCGUUGAAAGCUGGGUGUUGUUCAAAGUUUCUCCCCAUGUGAGAGUCUGAAAUAUGGCCUCGUGGGAUGAGAAAGACCUGACGGUCCCCAAGCCCGACACCUGUAAAAGGUCUGUGCUGAGGUGGAUUAGCCAAAGAAGAAAGCCUCUUGCAGUUGAGAGAGAGGAAGGCCGCUGUCUCCUGCCUGCCCCUGGGAACUGAAUGUCGCGGUAUAAAACACGAUUGUACAUUUGUUCAAUUCUGAGAUGGGAGAAAAACCGCCCUAUGGUGGGAGGCGAGACAUGUUUACAGCAAUGCUGCCUUGUUAUUCUUUACUCCACUGAGAUGUUUGGGUGGAGAGAAACAUAAAUCUGGCUUACGUACACGUCCAGUCAUAGUACCUUCCCUUGAACUUCAUUAUGACAUAGAUUCUAUUGCUCACAUGUUUGUUGCUGACCUUCUCCUUAUUAUCACCCUGCCCUCCUACUACAUUCCUUUUUGCUGAAAUAAUGAAGAUAAUAAUAAAAACUGAGGGAACUCAGAGACCCGUGCCAGUGCAGGUCCUUGGUAUGCUAAGCGCCGGUACCCUGGGCCCACUGCUGUUUCUCUAUACUUUGUCUCUGUGUCUGAUUUCUUUUCUGUCUCUCAUCCCACCUGACAAGAAAUACCCACAGGUGUGGAGGGGCAGGCCACCCCUUCAGUAUGAGAUUACAGGCAUGAAUAACCCCACCUGGCCACCUAACUCACUCUUGAGAGGCCAGAAGUGAUGCUGGAACUUUCUUCCUCUGUGGGUUAAAAAGGGAAAAUUAGGGACAACACAAGGCAGGAGAGAUGCAGCGAUGGAUAUGUCUAUAUGGAGCUUCUGUCUGCAUCCAGUAGAAAAUGCAUUUCUAGGCACCAGGUUUAAGAGCGAAAACCUGGAGUCUUGUCUGUUAGCAUUCUCCUUCCCCACAAACCAGAGAGGGAAUACAUUUGCUCCAGCACACCCGUAUGUAGGAAAUGUCACAUUCCUAUUUCUGUAACUUCAGUUAAAUCUGCUGUGAGUCCCUGGAUGCCUGGCAGGUGGAGAAUUCAAUCUUGUCGUUACCAGCAUUCCUUUCCCUUCUCCAUGGGCUUAUGUAAGAAUUCUGGGCUUACACACUGUUGGAAAGCCAGGAAGGAACUACAUCCCCCGAACUCUCCAUUCUUCCAGCUGCUCAUGAUCCAUCAACGGUCUUUGGGCCAUCUGCUAUAGCAAGACCCUCCUCACAGUGGAUAUCAGGGGCUGGGGUGGAAACGUAGGGGAUAGGAGACACUGGUCAAAGGGUACAAAGUUUCCAGUAGGAAGAAUAAGUUUUGAACAAGCUAAACUCCUCUGAAAGCUCAGUUCCUUAUCUGUAGAGCAGGGACACAUCAUUAACCUUCUAAGGAUGUUGCUGUGAGAGUAAAAGAUGAGGUUCAGCACAAUACCUAAAGCACAGUCAGGUCUCCUUAAGCUUGAACCUGCAUCGCCAUGAGCUCUACAUCUCAGGACAGAAAGGCUCACAGCCAGUUUCUCAGUUCCCAGUGAGAAGUGGAUCCCAGACCAGGCUGAACCGCAGGAUCCCCAGGGGAUACCCAGCCCUACUGAGUCAGAAUCACUGGAGGUAGAGCCUGG
rnacentral:lncRNA from 1 species